rnacentral:rRNA from 1 species
UUUGGUGAUUUUACCGAUGGUGUCCACCUCUUCCCAUUCCGAACAGAGAAGUUAAGCCCAUCAUGGCCGAUGAUACUGAUUUAACCGUCGGGAAAGUAGGUAGUCGCCAGAA